UGAAACAGUAGGUGGCGCUCAAUAAUUUGCAAGAUUUUUAUUAGCAUUUUAGGAAUGUUUACUCUGUUUGUAUUAAAGAUAAAUUUGGUGGUAGCAAUAUUUUAAUUUACAUAAUUCAGACGUUCAUUGCGUCUGCUACACAAGCAACAGGCUGAUUAAGGAUUAGAGGACCACUUGAACUGUGGAAUUCUUCUUUUUUCUAAGUGAAAAUACGGCUACUGUCUGUGGCAUCUGUAAAUGGUCACAAAAGCAUUCUGAAGAACACGUGGAAAGAAUAAAUGAGGAUUAAUUUCUUACUUCGGAACCAGUGUGGAAUGCCACUGUUUUCUCAGUCUUGCUGUGUUGCCUUCAUAAACCCCAUUAAGAAAUUUUGGCUCAUCACCCUGGGCUCUGUUCCUCAUGGAUUUCUCACAGGUACUUUCCACAUCCUUCUUCAAAUGUGUACAACAAAACUCAACAUACAGUUAAGAUUCCUCUGCUAAAUUGUAUUAGAAGUAGAACUUUUUCUGCUUGGUGUUCUUCAUGUUAUGCUUGUGUUACAUUAGCUUUUGUUGCUGCAGAUUGCUCUGAAAACUCUGAUGAUGUAA
rnacentral:lncRNA from 1 species